UACGGAGGGGGCUAGCGUUGUUCGGAAUUACUGGGCGUAAAGGGCGCGCAGGCGGCUGCUCAAGUCAGGCGUGAAAGGCCUGGGCUCAACCCGGGAAUUGCGCUUGAGACUGGGCUGGCUUGAGUGCGGGAGAGGAUGGUGGAAUUCCCAGUGUAGAGGUGAAAUUCGUAGAUAUUGGGAAGAACACCUGAGGCGAAGGCGGGUUGCUGGGCCGACACUGACGCUGAGGCGCGAAAGCCAGGGGAGCAAACGGG
rnacentral:rRNA from 1 species